rnacentral:rRNA from 1 species
UACUAGAGUAGCACUCGCAUAUCAAUAAGCGGAGGAAAAGAAACUAACAAGGAUUCCCCUAGGUAACGGCGAGUGAAGCGGGAAGAGCUCAAAUUUGAAAUCUUAAAGGGUUUCCCUUUACGAAUUGUAGUUUAAAGAAGUGUUUUCUGUUGAGGUUUUGGUAAAAGUUCUUUGGAAUAGGACAUCAUAGAGGGUGAGAAUCCCGUAUUUGACCUUUACUUUCAACUUUGUGAUACACUUUCAAAGAGUCGGAUUGUUUGGGAAUGCAGUCCAAAAUGGGUGGUAAAUUUCAUCUAAAGCUAAAUAUUGGCGAGAGACCGAUAGCGAACAAGUACCGUGAGGGAAAGAUGAAAAGAACUUUGAAAAGAGAGUUAAACAGUACGUGAAAUUGUCAAAAGGGAAGCGUUUGACACCAGUGUUGUUUUUCUGAAAAUCAAUUAAAGAACUGUUUAUGCUAAGUUGUUUAGACUUUAUCAGCUAACUGUUUAGUUUUGAGCUUUUCUUUAAUGCACUUUUCAGUUAACAAGUCAACAUCAAUUUCUUUUGCUGUAAAAAAGCUUGAGGAAGGUGGCUUGAGAUUCGUCUUAAGUGUUUAUAGCCUCUUGCCUAUGCAGUCGGAGAGAUUGAGGUCCUGCAGCGUAGAUCCUUCGGGGCUAAAUGCAUUUGUGCUAAGUUAUAGCAUUUAUAGACAACUUGUUGACUAUGAUUUGUCUUGUAGCUUACUCGCUUAUGUUAUUUUACCUACGCUUAGGAUGUUGAGUAGCGACAUACGCAC